rnacentral:rRNA from 1 species
GGUGAGUGGCGCAAGGGUGAGUAAGGCGACGGUAACCAACCCCGAGACUGGGUAUAGCCGCGGGAAACCGCGGGUAAUCCCCAGCGAUGUCACGAAGGGGCAUCUCUUUGUGACCAAAGCUCCGGCGUCUUGGGACGGGCCGUCGUGGUAUUAGGUAGUUGGCGGGGUAACGGCCCACCAAGCCUGAGAUGCCUACCGGGCGUGCGAGCGUGGCCCGGCACACUGGGACUGAGACACUGCCCUGACUCCUACGGGAGGCUGCAGUCGAGAAUCUUCGGCAAUGGGCGCAAGCCUGACCGAGCGACGCCGCGUGGAGGACGAAGGCCUUCGGGCUGUAAACUCCUGUCGAGGGGGAAGAAGCCGCAAGGUUGACUGAUCCCUGGAGGAAGCACGGGCUAAGUUCGUGCCAGCAGCCGCGGUAAGACGAACCGUGCGAACGUUAUUCGGAAUCACUGGGCUUAAAGCGCGUGUAGGUGGGACGGCACGUCGGUCGUUGAAAUCCCCCGGCUCAACCGGGGAAGGGGCGCCGAUACGACCGUCCUGGAGGGACGUAGGGGGACCUGGAACUUCCGGUGGAGCGGUGAAAUGCGUUGAGAUCGGAAGGAACGCCCGUGGCGAAAGCGAGGUCCUGGACGUUUUCUGACACUGAGACGCGAAAGCCAGGGGAGCGAACGGGAUUAGAUACCCCGGUAGUCCUGGCCGUAAACGAUAGGCACUGGGGUAGGGGGCUCGCCGAUGGGCUCCCUGCCGUAGGGAAACCGUGAAGUGCCCCGCCUGGGGAGUAUGGUCGCAAGGCUGAAACUC